rnacentral:tRNA from 1 species
GCACGGAUGGCCGAGUGGUCUAAGGCGCCAGACUCAAGCAUUCUGGUACUCGUAUGGGUGCGUGGGUUCGAAUCCCACUUCGUGCA